GAUAAAUCGGUCUUAUAAACAAUUUUGAGUCGCCAUCCAUUGUUUAGGCAAUGGGACCGUUUUUAUAAAAAUGACUCCAUUUUAAACCCAAUUUUGUUUUAAGGCCAAAUUAUUUUAAAAGACUGGUCAGGCGCACCAAUGCGAUUCUGGGUAAGGGAAUUGGGUACGCCGGCCCGUUGGAAGCCGACGCCCGAAAAACCGGCCUCUAUUAUUAACCUAUGAUUUCUAAUUUAUUUUAGUUAGAAAAGCCAAAUUAUUUAUUUACUUAAACCCAACCCAAAUAAAUCGGACCGAGUUCCUAUUUGGAAAAUUAUUUAAUCGUCCCAAACAAAUCUAAUUAUCACAUAACAAUUAUUCAAAUUAAAGCAAUUAAACCAAAUAAAUAAAAGACCCGCUCUUGCCUUAUGGUUCAAGGCGGGCG
rnacentral:lncRNA from 1 species